rnacentral:rRNA from 1 species
UACGUAGGGUGCAAGCGUUAAUCGGAAUUACUGGGCGUAAAGCGUGCGCAGGCGGUUAUGUAAGACAGUUGUGAAAUCCCCGGGCUCAACCUGGGAACUGCAUCUGUGACUGCAUAGCUAGAGUACGGUAGAGGGGGAUGGAAUUCCGCGUGUAGCAGUGAAAUGCGUAGAUAUGCGGAGGAACACCGAUGGCGAAGGCAAUCCCCUGGACCUGUACUGACGCUGAGCUGCGAAAGCUAGGGGAGCAAACAGG